GCCACGCCUUCUGCCAGACCACGCCCUCCCUACCAGCGCCCCACGCCCUCUCCCGCCACUCCAUGCCUCGCCCACUUUCCGCACCCCGCCCCGGUUGGCAUGCGCAAUGGGGCAGGCCCCGCUUGUUGAGGCUGGUACCCAGGUGGGCGUGUGGCUGAGCAGCCGGCGGGUGCUGAGACUACCUGGACCCCGAAGGGAAGCUCCCUGGCCCGCCUUUGAAACCAUGAAUUCGCUGGCUAGAAUGGAAAUGCUGGGGAACUCGGAAGCUGGAAGUUGCCUUUUCAACGCCGCCUUUCUCGCCAUCCCCUGUAUCCCUCCGGCUGCGACGAUCCUCCCUCUGGACCCCGUGGUCAGGCCCGCCCAGAGCGCCCCGUGGACCCUGCCUGACUGAACGGUCCACGUCUUGGUCUGGCCUCUUGAAACUAACUCAGCCAUGUUGUGAAAAAGAGAAAACAUCACAGUGAGCAGCCCUCAUUCGUGCAUUAUGCAGACAGGACACUCACGCGCACAGAUGAGGUUUGUAUACCUGCUCAAGUCGAGUAACUUGUCCAAAGCCCCACAGCUACUAAGGGGCUGGGCUGGGACACGGUGUCGACUCUGCCCGACUCCGGAGCCCAAGCACAGCCACCAGACCACACUCCUGCAGCUGCCCUCGUCAUUCCCGGGUCCUGGGGAGGGACGCUCCUGCAGGAAGCAGGAUUCCUCUGCGCUUCACGUCCAUCCAGUACUCUUCAGCGCUGGGAAUUAGCCCCGCCAGAGGAUGCGGAAGCAUUUUGGAAAGAUGGGGCAUAAUUUAGGCUGGACUCAGAUGACAACAAAGACUCUGAGGGAUGGCGGAACAGCAACUGAAAGAAACCUGGUUCCUUGAAUCGCCAGGAGAAGAGUCUGCUGCUGACUGAGGCCGUCUCUUUGAUUUUACUUGAGUGCAUUGUCUUUGAACUUCACCAACCUAUUUGUUACAUCAGCUGAGCCCACCCUAAUGAAUACAGCAUCUCUGUGCUGGAGACACAGUCCUGAACAGCAUAAUUUAGGAUCCUGCACCACAAAGGAGCCUCCAGACUAGCACUGGGAGAUGAGACAAGCAAUAAGCGAGUAAACCCAGGAAAAAUCAAGAUAAUAUUUUUGGAUAUCCCAGAAGCCUCAAUGCUGAGCUAUCAUUGUCUUGAUCAUUUUUGUGAGAGUUUACAACAAGAAUAAAAAAGAUGGACAGUGAAGAUUGCUCCUCCUGGACCGAAUUCUUUCUCUUUGGAACUACCAAUAACCCUGAGACUGAAGUGAACCUAUUUACCACAUUUCUAGUUGUUUAUCUUAUUAAUCUUCUGGAAAAUCUGGAAAUGAUUGUUUUAAUUAAAGUGGAUUCCCAGUUGCACACACCGAUGUACUUUUUCCUCAGUCACCUCUCUUCUGUGACCUCUGCUAUACCUCAGCAAUUGGGCCCAAGAUGCUGGUGGACCUCUUUGCCAAGAGCAAGUCAGUCCCCUUCUUUGGCUUGGCUCUGCAAUUUUUUAUCUUCCCUAUCUUUUCAGAUUCUGAGUGUCUACUGCUGGCAAUGGUGGCCUUUGAUUGGUACAAGGACAUUAGAAGCCCAUUGUUCUACAGUCAACAUGUGCAGCAGAGUGUGCUUCCUGCUCGUGGCUGGGGUUUAUCUGGUGGGAAUGGCAGAUGCUUUGAUACACACCACAUUAACAUUCUGCUUGGGUUUCUCUGGGUCAAAUGAGAUGAGCCAUUUCUUUUGUCAUAUCUCUCCUCCUCUAUCACUCUCUUACUCAGAUACACAGAUCAAUGAGUUAGUGACAUGCACCAUUAUUGGCUUCACUGAACUGAGUACCAUUUCAGGAGUUCUUGUCUCCUAUUGUUGUAUUAUCCUAUCCUUCUUGAAGAUCCACACUGCUGAGGGGAGGCUCAAAGUGUUCUCUACCUGCGUCUCCCACUUAACUGCUGUGGCAAUUUCCCAAGGAACUACACUCUUCAUGUAUUUCAGGGCAAGUCCUUCCUACACCCUGGAUCAAGACAAGUGAACUCGUUGUGUUACACCCUUGUGGUUCCCACAUGAAACCCUCUGAUUUAUAGCUACAGAACAAGAUGUCAAACGGCCCUGCAGAAACUGAAAACUAGAUUUGGUUUAAGUAAAUAUGUAUAUAGUGUAAGCAAAUAUGUCUUUAUAUAUGUAUACACACAAACAUACUCUUGGGUGUCUCAGAUUGUUUAUUAUAGUGCAAAGUCAUCUCAACUACCUUAAUUAAUAAAAUAAGUAUUUUACUAA